rnacentral:rRNA from 1 species
ACGGAGGCGCUCAAAGGUUCUCUCAGUACGGUCGGAAAUCGUACGUAGAGUGUAAAGGCAAAAGAGAGCUUGAUUGCAAGACAUACAGGUCGAGCAAGGAUGAAAAUCGGACUUAGUGAUCCGGUGGUUCUGCGUGGAAGGGCCAUCGCUCAACGGAUAAAAGCUACCCUGGGGAUAACAGGCUUAUCUCCCCCAAGAGUCCACAUCGACGGGGAGGUUUGGCACCUCGAUGUCGGCUCAUCACAUCCUGGGGCUGUAGUAGGUCCCAAGGGUUGGGCUGUUCGCCCAUUAAAGUGGUACGCGAGCUGGGUUCAGAACGUCGUGAGACAGUUCGGUCCCUAUCCGUCGCAGGCGUAGGAAAUUUGAGAAGACCUGUCCUUAGUACGAGAGGACCGGGAUGGACGUACCUCUGGUGUACCAGUUGUCCUGCCAAGGGCAUGGCUGGGUAGCUAUGUACGGAAUGGAUAAGCGCUGAAAGCAUCUAAGCGCGAAGCCAACUUCAAGAUAAGAUUUCCCACCGCAAGGGUAAGACCCCAGAAAGACUAUCUGGUUGAUAGGUCGAAGGUGUAAGUGCAGCAAUGUAUUUAGCUUAUCGAUACUAAUAGGUCGAGGACUUGACCAA